CGAUGUAAACAGAAAAACUCAAUGAGACACUUUUAAAAAUGUUGCGAUUCUUUUAGAAGUAAUGAAACAGUAUAACAGACAAGUACAAGUGCAAGAGUACUUUUCAAAAGCGAUUUCGAAGAAUGAAACUCAAGUGUUUAGAAUUGAAUGAGUAUUGAAUACUCAUAUCUUGUCUGAACGGAUAUCCGAGUACUGGAGUAUGGAUGCACAUAAAUUCAAACAAUAGUAAGAACUCUAUGACCGUUACAAGUUCUUAUCUAAUCUUAGAAUUGUGCCAUUAGUCUCGACACGUCGUCAUUUCUCGUAUGAGAUGGUUAAUUAUUAAAACGUUUUAAAGACAAUGGGUAAUAAAAAGAGUAAAAAUAAUGAUGACAUAGAAACGAUAGCAACGUCGUAAAUAAUUUUGAAAUGUUUGUAGGCAAACUAUCGUAUUCCUUGUCAAAAAUAAUAUUUCGUGGAACGUCGCUGAAAACGACGAGUCAAGGACCGAAUAUCCGGGUCGAAGAAAUGCGUAGGGAGAGAUGCAGCGGAAGUUUCUAUCAGGAGUACUUCCUGAUUACGCCUGGCAUAAAACCGAGAGGCAGAUAAGAUUACACUUCAGGAUUUCUGUUAGCUUUUCUCAAGAGGAAAUAUGUAAUAGGGUUUCCUAAAUUUUUAUACAGAGAUACAUUGUUGAAUUUUUUGCUUGUAAUGCAUUAGUUUACAAGGCCCCACAUUUCUGAUAUUUCAAAAAUUCCAAAAUCGGCCCACGACCCAUCACAAUUUGCCUGGACCCAUACUUCUAGAGGAACACCACAAUCUGGCAAAAGAUUCCUUUCACUUUACUCUCGAAUUCGAUCGGAACGAGGAGAAGGUUCGACGGACGUAGAUGGAGUUUCUAUAGCUACUUUAUUUAGAAAUUUGAAGAUGACACGAUAGCGAAGACUAACCCAAACUCAUACUUGUGACGAAAUCGGGUCAAUGUCGGCUCAAGGCUAAUGACUUGUUCAUGUCCUAGAUAGGUAAUGUAUGUACACACAAAGGAUUUUAGGCGUAUAGUUGAGAAACAUUGACGAGAAUUGAAUGAACAUCACCUUUUAAACAUUGUUAAAUGAAGAAUAGAAUUUUAGCAAUUUAAUAGUUGAAUUCGUACAAGAGAUUCAUGCAGAAUACAUGCAUAAAAGUGUAAUUAAAAAAGUAGGGGUCGUAAAAUUUUUCGUUUCGCGUUAUUUACCUUACCUGUCCAUUUCAAUGCUGUA